rnacentral:rRNA from 1 species
CUGCGGUAAUACGUAGGUCACGAACGUUAUUCGGAAUCACUGGGCUUAAAGGGCGCGUAGGCGGCUCAGAAAGUAGAGGUUGAAAUCCGGCGGCUCACCCGUCGAACUGGUCUCUAAACUACUGGGCUUGAGUCAUGGAGGGGUGCGUGGAACUUGUGGUGGAGCGGUGAAAUGCUCAGAUAUCACAGGGAACACCGGUGGCGAAGGCGACGCACUGGCCAUGUACUGACGCUGAGGCGCGAAAGCCAGG